CUCAUUCUUGCGUAAGAAUAACAUUGCAGUUCAGAACGAAAGGUACGAUGAGCCUUCUACUAGCAAAGGCAAAGGCAAAGCUAAUAAGUGAUGAAGACUUGUUAUUUAAUUUUAAGAAUGUUAUUGUAAAGACUUGAUGAUGUUGUUUAAGACUUAUUUGUUUAUGUUUUCGUACAGAUGUUUAAUGUUAAUUUAACCUGGGAUUGUAUUUAUUAAUCAGAUGUUGUAACCCCAUAAGGGGAGGAUUUUAUUUCUAUCUAUUGCAU
rnacentral:lncRNA from 1 species